rnacentral:rRNA from 1 species
CUCUAAAACCGGUCCCAGUUCGGAUUGCAGGCUGCAACUCGCCUGCAUGAAGUUGGAGUUGCUAGUAAUCGCGGAUCAGAAUGCCGCGGUGAAUGCGUUCCCGGGUCUUGUACACACCGCCCGUCACACCAUGGAAGUUGGGGCGCCCGAAGUUGGUCAAGAAGAGAUUACCUAAGGCGAAACCAAUGACUGGGGUGAAGUCGUAACAAGGUAAC